rnacentral:rRNA from 1 species
AUUGAACGCUGGCGGCAUGCCUUACACAUGCAAGUCGAACGGCAGCACGGGGGCUUGCACCUGGUGGCGAGUGGCGAACGGGUGAGUAAUACAUCGGAACAUGUCCUGUAGUGGGGGAUAGCCCGUCGAAAGCCGGAUUAAUACCGCAUACGAUCUACGGAUGACAGCGGGUUACCUUCGGGCCUCGCGCUAUAGGGUUGGCCGAUGGCUGAUUAGCUAGUUGGUGGGGUAAAGGCCUACCAAGGCGACGAUCAGUAGCUGGUCUGAGAGGACGACCAGCCACACUGGGACUGAGACACGGCCCAGACUCCUACGGGAGGCAGCAGUGGGGAAUUUUGGACAAUGGGCGAAAGCCUGAUCGAGCAAUGCCGCGUGUGUGAAGAAGGCCUUCGGGUUGUAAAGCACUUUUGUCCGGAAAGAAAUCCUUGGCCCUAAUACGGUCGCGGGAUGACGGUACCGGAACAAUAAGCACCGGCUAACUACGUG